AGCGAACGCUGGCGGCAUGCUUAACACAUGCAAGUCGCACGGCCCGCAAGGGCAGUGGCGGACGGGUGAGUAACGCGUAGGUAUCUGUCUCCGGGUGGGGGAUAACUGUGGGAAACUACAGCUAAUACCGCAUGAAGCCUGAGGGCCAAAGGCGCAAGUCGCCUGGAGAGGAGCCUGCGUACGAUUAGCUUGUUGGCGGGGUAAAGCCCACCAAGGCGACGAUCGUAGCUGGUCUAGAGAGGAUGAUCAGCCACACU
rnacentral:rRNA from 1 species